rnacentral:rRNA from 1 species
AGCGAACGCUGGCGGUAGGCCUAACACAUGCAAGUCGAGCGGGCGCAUCGUAGUCACCGGCUGUUGCGUGAGUAACGCGUCGGAACGUAGCGUAAGACUCGGAAUUAUGCUUUGUCAUGAGCGCUAAUGUCGGAAAACCUCCGCUGAUACAACAUUCACUCUCCAGGUGACAGCCCGCGAUCUUAAGGCCUGGUGCGGGUGUAUCGGCCGAUGUCGGAGACGCUCGUUGGCGGGGUAAAGGCCUACCAAGGCGACGAUGAGUAGCUGGUCUGAGAGAGUGAUCAGCCACACUGGGACUGAGACACGGCCCAGACUCCUACGGGAGGCAGCAGUGGGGAAUAUUGGACAAUGGGCGCAAGCCUGAUCCAGCCAUGCCGCGUGAGUGAUGAAGGCCUUAGGGUUGUAAAGCUCUUUUGUCCGGGACGAUAAUGACGGUACCGAAAGAAUAAGCCCCGGCUAACUUCGUG